AGCUUGAACCCCGCUACUGGAAUAAGUUUCCUGGUUCUUUCCGCGCCUUGCAGGUGGUGUCCUUCAGACGUGGAUCAAUCAUCAACACCAUGGACCUACAAUUUGUAAACACAUCUGUUCCUGACAACUCUGCGAUUCAGAGUGUUUUGAUCGCUGCAGCUUCAGUGGUUCAAGGCUUUGACAUUGAAGGCAGCUCCAUCACUGUUGGAACGUCUUUAACAACAACCACAACCACCCCACUGACGACAACGACAACGACAGCACCAACAACAACC